AGAUUAGUCAUAAUCCAAAAGAAGAAGUAAUGAAUCGUCAGGUUUUAUCCCUAAUCACUUUGAUUAUUCUCUUGGUCUCCGCGUACAACACGACUAUGGGCCGAACUCUGCCGAGGGAAGGAAAUGGAGCACAACAAUUUGAUAAUCUAAAAGCUGGUGUCAGACGAAGUGAAUCGGCACGUACUCGUCAGAAAGGACCCGGACACUGAUGAGUGAUGAUCUCUAACAAGUUUUAGUUGGCACCUUCAUGCAAUAAUUGAUAAUCUACUGCUUUGUAAUAAGUCCGUCGUUGUGGCGAUUCAUAGUCUCUACUCGAUUCAU